ACCUAUACGUUUUGGUGUUAAUCGGAAU
rnacentral:sRNA from 1 species